rnacentral:lncRNA from 1 species
CGAGAAUGGGGGGGAAAAAAAAGAUUUUUGGGCUUUUUGCUCCUAAGCCCAAUAUUAGUGUUAAUUAGGGUGUGUUUUAAGCUUAAGAGAAUGUAGUAGGAUUUUUAUGUUUUUCUUGAACUAGUUUUAGGUUAUUCAUGUAUCAAGGCUUUUAAUUUAUUUAAUUCUAGGCCCAACAUGACCUAAAAUGUUAAAAUAAAUAAGUGUGGGUCCAAUUAGAGCCCAAUUAGGGUUCUAAGCCCAUGAUAGUCUAAUUGGAAGCUUAUUGGCCCAUUUGGAUCCAAUAAGGAAGUUCUAGCCUAAAUUAGACUUAACAAGAACUUCUAGGGUCUCCAAUUGUUUGAUGACUAUUUGUAGUUCUAGCAUGUUGUAUUUGAUUGAAGUUUUUGAUUCACAUUAACUUGAAUGUAUAGAUUACAUGGCUCAAAAUUUACAGUUGUGACAUCAUCCCCCCGUUAGAGGGAAUUUCGUCCCGAAAUUCUGUUUGAAAGCUAGAUUUGAGAAUGCUAGAAUAGGUGAGGGUACUUCUGCUUCAUUUGAUCUUCGCGUUCCCACGUGAAUUCUGGCCCACGCUUUGCGUUCCACCGUACCUUCACGAUCGGGAUGCGACUCUGCUUAGUACGCUUCACCUCCCUGUCCAUGAUUUCGAUUGGCUCUUCGACGAACAGGAGAUUCUCAUUGAUUUCGAUUUCGUCAAGAGGAAUGACAAGGGUUUCAUCUGAUAGGCACUUUUUCAGAUUAGAAACAUGAAACACGGGGUGCACACCGUUUAGCUCCGGGGGUAGUUGUAGUCUGUAGGCUACCGGACCUAUUCGGGCGACGAUUUCGAAAGGUCCAAUGUACCGUGGGUUUAGCUUUCCUCGUUUUCCGAAACGUAUAACCCCUUUCCAGGGUGAGACCUUCAACAAUACUCGAUCACCGACCUGGAAUUCUAAGGGCUUUCGCCGUUUAUCAGCGUAGCUCUUUUGCCGGUCACGCGAUGCCUGUAAUCGAGCUUUGAUCUGGACAAUCUUUUCUGUGGUCUCGCGAAUGAUUUCCGGUCCUGUCAUUGCCCUAUCCGACGUAUGUGUUCUUGCUAGCUGGGUGUCACCUACUUCAGCCCAACAUAACGGUGAUCUACAUUUACGCCCGUACAGUGCUUCGAAAGGGGCCACCUUAAUGCUCGAAUGAUAACUAUUGUUAUAUGAAAACUCGAUCAACGGUAGGUGGGUAUCCCAAGACUUUCCGAAGUCUAUCACACAUGCACGAAGCAUGUCUUCAAGCGUCUGAAUGGUUCGUUCGCUUUGACCGUCCGUUUGUGGGUGAUACGCGGUGCUCAUAUCAAGAUGAGUUCCCAUGGCCUUGUGGAGCGACUGCCAAAAGCGUGACGUGAACCUACUGUCCCUAUCCGAGAUGAUAGAUUUUGGCACUCCAUGAAGUCUUACAAUCUCUCGUAGGUACAAACGCGUCAGCCUCUCCAUCUUGUAGGACUCUUUGAUUGGCAGGAAAUGGGCAGAUUUCGUCAGUCGGUCGAUUAUUACCCAUAUGGUGUCCAAUCCGUCCGACGUCUUGGGCAGCUUGGUCACGAAGUCCAUAGAAAUCCCCUCCCAUUUCCACUCAGGGAUUGCCGGUUGCUGUAACAAUCCGGAAGGUUUCUGGUAUUCCACUUUUACUUUGGCACACGUAAGGCACUUACUAACAUAAGUUGCGAUUUCCGCCUUCAUGUUAGGCCACCAAUAGUGCUGCUUAAUGUCCAAAUACAUCUUGUCCGAACCAGGAUGAAUGGAGUAUCGUGUCUUGUGGGCUUCCUUCAUAACGGUCUCCCUGAAUCCUCCGAUUUUUGGAACCCAAAUACGGUUCAUGAAGUAGUAUACCCCAUUCUCUUUGACUUCCAGGUUCUUCUCCAUUCCGCGUAAUGCCUCGCUAGUUCUAUUUUCCGCUUUCAUAGCCUCUGCCUGGACUGAUGCAAUUUGAGUGGUCAGAUGAGACUGAAUGGUUAUCGAGUGCGUUUUCGUACGGCGAUUUGUGUAUUCCUUCCGACUUAAUGCGUCAGCUACCACGUUGGCCUUGCCUGGAUGGUACUUGAUCUCGCAUUCGUAGUCGUUUAACAAUUCCACCCAUCUUCGUUGUCUCAUGUUCAGCUCCUUCUGAUUCAAGAUGUGCUGGAGGCUCUUGUGGUCCGUAAAGAUGGUGCACUUUGUACCGUACAGGUAGUGCCUCCAAAUUUUUAGGGCGAAGACCACGGCUCCCAGUUCUAGGUCAUGGGUUGUGUAAUUUACUUCGUGCGUCUUUAGUUGACGGGACGCAUAUGCUAUCACUCUUCCACGUUGCAUGAGAACGCAACCUAAGCCUUGAUUUGACGCGUCACAGUAAACUACAAAAUCUUCCGUUCCUUCGGGUAGAGAUAGUACAGGAGCGCUACAAAGAGCUUGCUUCAAGGCUCGAAACGCAAUCUCUUGUCGGUCUGUCCACUUGAAUGGCACACUCUUUUGCGUAAGCAAGGUAAGUGGCUUGGCGAUUUUAGAGAAGUUUUGGAUGAAUCUCCUAUAGUAGCCUGCUAGGCCUAAGAACUGACGAAUUUCUGUGGGCGUAGUCGGAGUUGCCCAUCCUUCCACAGCUUUGACCUUAGAGGGAUCCACAUGAAUUCCGUCUUGGCUAACUACGUGGCCUAAGAAAUUCACACUCCGAAGCCAGAACUCGCACUUGGAGAGUUUGGCGUAAAGCUUUUCCGAUCGCAGCGUUUCUAGGACUUGUCGGAGAUGUUGGCCAUGCUCCUCUUUGCUUCGAGAAUAGACGAGGAUGUCAUCGAUAAACACAAUGACGAAGUUGUCCAAGAACGGUCGACAGAUUCGGUUCAUUAGGUCCAUAAAUGCAGCGGGUGCAUUUGUUAGACCGAAGGGCAUUACGACGAAUUCAUAAUGUCCAUAGCGGGUUCGGAAAGCGGUUUUAGGAAUAUCUUCUUCUCGGACCUUGAGUUGAUGGUAUCCGGACCGUAGAUCUAUUUUAGAAAAAUAGCUAGCUCCUUGGAGCUGGUCGAAUAGAUCAUCGAUUCGUGGGAGUGGGUAGCGGUUUUUAACAGUGAGUUUAUUCAACUCUCUGUAAUCGAUGCACAUUCUGAAAGAUCCGUCCUUCUUUUUGACAAAGAGCACCGGAGCUCCCCAUGGCGAGUAGCUAGGUCGGAUAAAUCCCUUGUCCAGAAGCUCACUGAGUUGGCUGGAUAAUUCCUGCAUUUCAGCAGGUGCCAACCGAUAUGGUGAUUUAGCGAGGGGAGUUGCUCCUGGAACGAGGUCGAUUCGGAAUUCAACCUGUCUCUCUGGGGGUACUCCUGGAAGAUCUUCGGGAAACACGUCCGGAAAUUCACACGCUACCGGAAUGUCUUGGAUGUUAGUUUCUUCUUUGGUCUUGUCCACUAUGUGGGCCAAGAACGCUAAGUUGUUCUUUCGCAGAUGUUUUUGUGCUUUGAUGCACGAGAUGAGACGAAGAUUCGUACUGGGUUUGUCUCCGUAAAUUACUAGGGUUUCGUGAUUUGGGAGACGAAGGCGAACGGCCUUCUCGUGGCACAAAAUCUCAGCAUGGUGGGGGCUUAACCAAUCCAUGCCGAUAAUCACAUCGAAACUCCUAAUUGAUACUGGCAUUAGGUCUAUUCGAAAGACGUGCUGGUUAAGGGUUAGGGUACAUCCGAUGUAGAUCUCCCUAGUGGAUUCGGUUUUCCCAUUGGCCAUUUCCACCGUAUAGGUUUCAUUUAGCUUCUGGGGUUGUUGUUUUAAUAAAUGUUUAAACUUCUCGCUUACGAAACUUCGCUCCGCUCCGGUAUCAAAUAAGAUGCAUGCAUAAGUGUGGUUUAGGAGGAACGUACCGGUCACAACUGCGGGGUCCUGAACUGCAUCACUCUGACCCAUAGUCAGCAUUCUUCCUGCUCCUCUGUUUCCUGAGUUGUUGUUGUUGUUAGGGCAGUCUCGACGGAAAUGUCCCGUCCUUCCACACCCGAAACAGGUGUGGCUAGGCCCUGCGUUGUUGCCGCCGGCAUUGGUGUUGUUGGUAUUGCGGUGGUUGUUGUUGUUGUUCUGGUUGUUUCCCUGACUCUGGUUCUGAGAAGGAUAAGUCCUGCAGAACUUUGCAGUGUGUCCCCUUCGAUUGCAACUGGUGCAAUGGAACUCCCUACAUUCUCCUUGGUGAUGGAAACCGCACUUGUUGCAUUUGGGAUGAGUGCCGGAAUAGGGUCUUGAAGUAUUUGAAGCAGCUGAGGCUGGAGCAUGUGAUGUGACUGGUACCGGCGCAGUGACAGCGUGAACUGCCACCGUUUGCUGCUUUUUAGAGGUCUCGGGACCCUGACGCCCCUUCCUCUUGUUGUUCCAUCCUUUCUUACCAUCACUCUCCUUCUUCUUCUCAGUCUCUACCGGUUUCUCGCCCUUUUUGUGGUUAUGAUCAUAUAGCCUCUUUGCCAAUCUCUUCGCACUGUCAAAAGUUUCAGGGUUCGCAGCUAUCACAUUCCCUUGAAUGGGGGAUGUCAGUCCCCAAAUGAAUCGUUCAAUCUUCUUCCCCUCUGAUGUGAUCAUACCCGGGCACAACAGAGAUAGUUCGCUGAAUCUCGAUAUGUAAGCAUCGAUGUUCCCAUUCUGCACCGUGAGAUUCCAUAGUUCCUGCUCCAUCUUCUGUAUUUCGCCUCGGGGGCAGUACUCAGCCGUCAACAUCUCUUUCAUCUCUGCCCAGGGAAUAGAGUUGGCGACAGGGAGUGUCAUAGCUUCCACAUGACCAUUCCACCAAGUGAGUGCUUGGUCCACAAAAGUGCAGGCCGCGAACUUCACUUUCAUCUGCUCGGGGCACUCGCAUAUCUCGAAUACCGACUCUACCUUCUCGAUCCAUCGCUUUAGGGCGAUCACUCCUCCGGUACCGUUGAAAGUUCGGGGUUUAGCGUUCGCAAAAUCCUUGUAGGUGCACGUUUUAGUGAGCCCUUGGUUCGUCCCGUUGUUCGAACUUCCGGAGCCUUGACCAUUGCCUCCUCCAUUGUUUCCUCGGUGAAGUUGUGCCAUAGCUGCCGUGACCGCAGCAGACACGGCUGCCUGGAAAGCAGUGGAGUCAACUUCCGGCGGGGUUGGUUCGGGAUUUCCGCGAGUAGCUGGGCGAGGCAUCUUUCUGUCAUGAAACGGAAAGAUGUUGAGUGUACGUGGUUUCGGUGAGGUUAUGAUCCUACUAACUAGGUGUAGGGUACGAACCUAAGCAUUACUAUCAUCAAGCAUAUAAUCAUAACACCUCAACACAUAACAACUGAGAAUAUCAUAGCAAAACACACAAAAGUUUAUUAAUAUUAUCCGUGUUUAGUACAAGAAAAUUUGCUCGUAGGAGCAUACAUAAGUAACACUAAUCCGACAGCAUAACGGCUCCAUGAGUAGUGUAGUCACUUAAACAUAGAGCCGGAGUACAUAACAUAGUUACUAAUAUCCUACUACGAUAGGUCUAUCCCUAACCGCGAUGAGCUGCGUCAGGAGGUGGUGCCGAAGUCAUAUGCCGAAAUGUUGCGCUAGUAGCUGCGCCAUCUCUGCCAUGUCUCCUAUAACUUCAUCCCUCUCGUGCUCUGCUCUCACUGCCCGAGCUUCCAUAGCAUACAGCUGUUGUCGCAGUGCGGCGAUCUCAGCUUCGAGGGAACGGUUCUCCCUCGGGGGGUUCACUGGUGGAGCGGGGUGAUCUGGUUGGGCCUCGUCCUCGCAUGGUGGGAUGGGGUCCUGGCCCCCGACCUGACCCUCCUCGUCGUCAUCGUCGACCUCUCCAAAUUCGUAGUCAGUGUCUAUAUAUUCGUCGGGUUCGACGUCGUGUGCUUCUCCUGGAUGCUCUUCCGGCUCAUCCACCAGCAUCCCGUGAGCUACUAAGGCCUGAUGAAACUGGAUGCCCUGCUGCUCCUCCUCAGGCUCCUCCUCCUCCUCUAGCCACCCGUUGUUUCCCUGAUUAGGGAAGUAGGGGUCUCCAGGGUGAUGAAAACCAGCCAUGCUGUCUGCGCGAGUACGUAAUUAUGCUACAUUAUUCCUAGGGUACUAUGACUAUUACACAGACUAAGCAAAUAUUCUCUUUUUGGGUGAUAUAGGGUAAAAUUUUUAGGUUCCCUGGCUAUUCCGAUCUCAUCAAGACGUGUGUUAGUUUUACCUUGGAGAGAAUGUAGUUGAUCAGGCUACAUUCACUCCUUGGUAUCACUAAGAACAGUCCCGAGUUAACCGAGAUACCAGCAUUAUGGUGUUUGAUUCAGCGUUAGGUCCUUACUCCUAAUGCAAGCAAGUGUGUUUUAUUUAUUUGUUUUGUUCAGAGUUAUGUUAGUCCCUCUUUUUGGUUUAUAGUUGCAUAUCAAUGUAUGGCUCGACAUGCUAGUUCACUAUAAACAAAGCUCUGAUACCAACCUGUCACACCCCCGAACCAGACGGCGGAAACGUCCGGGGGCUGUCGUGACUCAAUUGAAUACCAUAACAUUGAAUAUAUAUGAAACAAAACAACAUUCGUCACCAUUCAUCAACAUAAUACAACCAGUAGUGUUUACAUGUCAUACAUUGUUUGAGAUAUUACAUUUCCAAAAAUUAAUAUUGUUUGGUUCAUUCAAAAAUAAACUGCAACCGUCACUGAGCAUGAUUUCCCUUGACUCACUGGUUUCCUGAGAAUACAAGUAUUUUGAAAAACGUCAACAUAUGAAAUGUUGGUGAGUUCAUAAGUAGUGUUUGAAAUCGAAUGUUUAUAUUGUUUGAAAAACCACCAGAAAAUCCGAUAUUUUCUGAAAAGAAAAGCUUUCAAAAACGUUUGUGAAGAUCCAUAGGUAUGCUUGUUUGUUUCUAUACUUGCAAAAAUUGUUCAUUUAAGAUGUAUGCGUUUAAAAUCUGUAUGUGAUAAAAACCCUAGGGAAACCCGAUGUUCCCCUAGUUCUUUUGAAAUCCAUUGAGUUGCGUUGAAACCAUUACAAAAAUAGUAGUAUCGGUCCCAAGCGACGUUGGAAGGUUCUCGAGCAUUGAUUAUUUACUACAAACCCGCAUUACACAAAUGCCCGGUUUAUAGAUAUACCAACGAUUCCCGAAGGCGUCGUCAGUACUAAUCACGUUAUCCAAUCGCCCGGACUAUGAGUGGUCCCACAUCCGAAGAGAAAGAGGUCACGAAGACCCCGGUAACUCUAUUAACCGGCUGGGGAAAAAUGUGUGCGAGGGGUCCCCGACCCGCCUCGUAAAAUGUGUAGACUUUUCUAGCAAUACCAUGGCCCUUGGGGUCCAAUGGUACAAGCCAUUGAAAGUCACCCUACGUUGUGCCAAGUCGGUAAAACUCAACACUUCGUAGAAAAAAAAUGUCUUCGGGCCUUAAGAUCAGGUCAUUGGGCUAGCUAGGCCCAACAAACAAGAUUUUACACUUUUGGGGCCCGAAGAUGGUGCGUAGACGUCUGUGCACACUCGUAUGUAUGUGUAUUACCAAUCGUUAUUUGUAUGUAUCAAAGAGUUAGUAGUUGUGGAUUUUCAUUGGCUCGAGACCGAGCCAAUUCGUUUAACAACGACUUUUGGUAUUGUAAUGAGUUGUAUUUCGUUGGUAGUUGAGGUGUCAUUAUUUGAUCACAUUGUACAUAAUGAAUCAGCCUUGAAAUAUUUCUGUUUUCAGCCCCUCAUUAUUUGUAAAAUUUACAUUUUCAACCCUUUUAUUUAAAUAUUUCCCGGUUUGGUCCUUAAACUAUUUUUCUUGACAUUUUAACACCAAAAAUUAUUGAAAUUAAUAUUUUCCAGCAUAUUUUUCAAAGAAAACAGUUUAAGUCCCUGAAAAUGCAGUUUUUCUCGGUUUUAGCCCAUCUUUUCGCAAUUUUGACAAUUUUGGCCCAAAAUGGAAAAUUUUUGCAACUUUGGUCCUUUUUAAAUUUAAAAAGCAUUUUAAACCUUUGAAAAGGGUUUGGGACACUUAUAGUCCACUGUUUUACAGAAUUUCACAGUUUUGGCCCUUCAAAACAGAAAAAUUCGCAUAAUGGGCCUUAUUGGGCCGAAAUUUGCAUUUUUAGCCCAAUAGGCUUGAAAUUUAUGUUUUUAAUCCACCAAUUGAAUAGAAUUCCAGAAAUAGCUUUAUUGAAACUGUUUUGACACAUUUCAACCAUCAGAAUCUGUAAAAUGUCAUUUUGGGCCCUUAAUUUUGUAUUUUUCACAUUUUUGGCCCAAAAUAUGUGUUUUUAGCUUAAAGAAAAUUGUUGCUAACCACUUGGCUAUUUAUCUAGUACCACUUAUUAUGUAGGAACAUAUUUGAAGCUAAUAUCAUAAAACAUGAGUUAUAUCUCGGUUUUGAGGGGUUUAAUGGCUAGAUCCAACAUUAAAACACAUAUAAGCAUACAUAUAAGCAUGGAAAUCAUACAAGGCAUACAAAUACAUAUAGAUCUACACUUUCACUUGUAUUCCCCCCCACAAAAACUCUUAAAAACAGAAAAUAGGGGUAUGAAUCUCACCUUGAGUGGGUAGUUUCGGUUCUUGAAGAAAAUUGGAAGAAAUGAAGUGAUUUUUGGCCCUUGCACUCCUUGAUGAACUUUUCGAGAUUAGGAGGGUUUCUAGGGUGUAAGAUCAUGGUUUUUACAUGGAUUAGANCCAUAGAUCUAUGAAUAAUCUUACCUUAGAUGAUGAUUUACUUGCAAAAUCCUCUUGGAAAGUCCCUAAAUUUCGAGAUCUUUGGAGAGGGGAGGGAAGGAGAGUUCUUUGAGUGUUCUAGAGAGAAAGUUGAGAUAUUUUGGUGUGUGUGAUGAUGCUUGGCCGAGAGUGAGAGAGGAGAGAAGAAGAAAUGACUUUUGAAGUGAUUUGCAUGGAGAUAUGGACUAAGAUGCAUGGAGACAUGUUGGGUAAUAAUGAGGUGGCAAGCAAAUAGUCAACUCUUCCAUUUCUCCUUGAGUGUGGGCCUUGGGCCGAGAAUUUGAAAGAAAAAAAAGAUUUUUGGGCCUUUUGGCCCUUAAGCCCAAUAUUAGUGGUAAUUAGGGUGUGUUUUAAGCUUAAGAGAAUGUAGUAGGAUUUUUAUGUUUUUCUUGAACUAGUCUUAGGUUAUUCAUGUAUCAAGGCUUUUAAUUUAUUUAAUUUUAGGCCCAAAAUGACCUAAAAUGUUAAAAUAAAUAAGUGUGGGUCCAAUUAGAGCCCAAUUAGGGUUCUAAGUCCAUGAUAGUCUAGUUGGAAGCUUAUUGGCCCAUUUGGAUCCAAUAAGGAAGUUCUAGCCUAAAUUAGACUUAAUAAGAACUUCUAGGGUCUCCAAUUGUUUGAUGACUAUUUGUAGUACUUGUAUCUUGUAUUUGGUUAAAGUUUUUGAUUCACAUUAACUUGAAUGUGUAGAUUACAUAGCUUAA